AUCCAGCUGACGAAUCCCAAAUAGGACUAAACGCGAGUCAAACUGGAU
rfam:Schistosoma margrebowiei strain Zambia genome assembly, scaffold: SMRZ_contig0005775